UUAGGAAGAUUUGUGUUGGAUGAAUUACCCAGAUAACAAUUAAAACAACUUCUAUUUAUAAGAACAUUCGAUUGGUGGAAUCCAGAUUCUGUGAAUAUAUAUUAAGUAAUUGAUUGACAAGUACACAUUUGACAAGGUGGUGAGAAACAUGUAGAUCUGGCCUGCUUACAGUGGAGUGGACAGAACCAACGUGAGAGUGAACGUGUGAAUUUAUGGAGAACAUUAAACUAUUUUACUAUAACAUAUUUUAUAUGAGUUACAUACAAAUGUCAAUCCGUGAGUACAUAAUGUAAAAACUAAAACAAUGUACUGUUAUCACAACAGUAACUGUAAUCUUUUAAAAUCCAGUAGUUUUAUUGCUUAUUGAUUUUCGUAAACAAAAUAUUUCAUGUUAUAUUUCAUCAAUAAAGUUUUAUUUUAUA